AGGGAAUUAUUAUUUUUGGUGAAUGGUGGUUUUUUUAUAUGAACAUUAAGGAAUACAUUAUUUCUCAUCAUUCUCUGGUCAUCAUUCAUAUCCACCGUGUUUUGAUGUCAAAUUUUCAUUUCCAGUCAUAUUAUAUAUUAUUUCAUGUUUUCAGUUUUAGUAAAUUUUAUAUUUUUAUUAUUUAUAAUUAAUAGAUCAUUAUUUUAUCAUAUCACACUUGGAUAUAAUGGUUG
rnacentral:lncRNA from 1 species